GACGAACGCUGGCGGCGUGCUUAACACAUGCAAGUCGAACGGAAAGGCCCUGCUUUUGUGGGGUGCUCGAGUGGCGAACGGGUGCGUAACACGUGAGUAACCUGCCCUUGACUUUGGGAUAACUUCAGGAAACUGGGGCUAAUACCGUAUAGGAGCUCCUGCUGCAUGGUGGGGGUUGGAUAGUUUCGGCGGUUGGGGAUGGACUCGCGGCUUAUCAGCUUGUUGGUGGGGUAGUGGCUUACCAAGGCUUUGACGGGUAGCCGGCCUGAGAGGGUGACCGGCCACAAUGGGACUGAGAGACGGCGCAGACUCCUACGGGAGGCAGCAGUGGGGAAUAUUGCACAAUGGGCGGAAGCCUGAUGCAGCAACGCCGCGUGCGGGAUGACGGCCUUCGGGUUGUAAACCGCUUUCGCCUGUGACGAAGCGUGAGUGACGGUAAUGGGUAAAGAAGCACCGGCUAACUACGUG
rnacentral:rRNA from 1 species